AAACACCUAGCCAUGCCACACCCACAAGGGAAUUCAGCAGUAAUUAAUAUUGAAUAUAAGCGUCAGCUUGAUUCGGUUAAAGUAAAAAGGGCCGGCAAAUAUGGUGCCAGCCGCCGCGGUUACACCACAUGACCCAAAUUGAUCCCCUACGGCGUAAAGCGUGAUUAAAGUUACUGUAUAUUGUAGUUAAACUACUAAUGGGCUGUAAUACGCUUUUAUUUAGGAAACUCAAAAACGAAAGUUACUGCAUGCAAAACAACUUGAACUCACAACAGUUAGGUCACAAACUAGGAUUAGAUACUCUACUAUGCCUAACUGUAAACUUUUAAUUUACACCAAAUAUCGCCUGGGAACUACGAGCAAAGCUUAAAACCCAAAGGACUUGACGGUACCCCACAUCCCCCUAGAGGAGCCUGUCCUUUAAUCGAUACUCCCCGUUUAACCUCACCAUUUUUAGCUAAUCAGUCUGUAUACCUCCGUCGUCAGCUUACCACGUGAGCGACUCAAAGUAAGCUAAAUGUUUAUUUUUACAUCAAUACGUCAGGUCAAGGUGCAACUAAUAAAAUGGAAAGAGAUGGGCUACACUCUCUAACAUAGAAUACACAAAAGACUAACUGAAAACUAGUUGUAAGGCGGAUUUAGAAGUAAAAAAAAACUAGAGAGUUUUUUUUAACACGGCA
rnacentral:rRNA from 1 species